GACGAACGCUGGCGGCGUGCUUAACACAUGCAAGUCGAACGGAAAGGCCCUGCUUUUGUUGGGUGCUCGAGUGGCGAACGGGUGAGUAACACGUGAGUAACCUGCCCUUGACUUUGGGAUAACUUCAGGAAACUGGGGCUAAUACCGGAUAGGAGCUCCUGCUGCAUGGUGGGGGUUGGAAAGUUUCGGCGGCUGGGGAUGGACUCGCGGCUUAUCAGCUUGUUGGUGGGGUAGUGGCUUACCAAGGCUUUGACGGGUAGCCGGCCUGAGAGGGUGACCGGCCACAUUGGGACGGAGAUACGGCACAGACUCCUGCGGGAGGCAGCAGUGGGGAAUAUUGCACAAUGGGCGGAAGCCUGAUGCAGCAACGCCGCGUGCGGGAUGACGGCCUUCGGGUUGUAAACCGCUUUCGCCUGUGACGAAGCGUGAGUGACGGUAAUGGGUAAAGAAGCACCGGUAAACUACGU
rnacentral:rRNA from 1 species